rnacentral:rRNA from 1 species
UACGAAGGGUGCAAACGUUGCUCGGAAUUAUUGGGCGUAAAGCGCACGUAGGCGGCUUGGCAAGUCGGAUGUGAAAUCCCUCGGCUCAACCAAGGAAGUGCAUCCGAAACUGCCGAGCUUGAGUACUUAAGAGGAUCGCGGAAUUCCCGGUGUAGAGGUGAAAUUCGUAGAUAUCGGGAGGAACACCUGUGGCGAAAGCGGCUCACUGGACCACAACUGACGCUGAGGCGCGAAAGCUAGGGGAGCAAACAGG